CGGGCCGUAGCUCAGUAGGUAGAGCGCCUGGUUUGGGACCAGGAGGCCGUGGGUUCGAGACCCGCCGGCCCGACCA
rnacentral:tRNA from 1 species